rnacentral:rRNA from 1 species
AUACGUAGGUGGCGAGCGUUGUCCGGAAUGAUUGGGCGUAAAGGGUGCGUAGGCGGCGCGGUAAGUCUGGAGUGAAAGUCCUGCUUUCAAGGUGGGAAUUGCUUUGGAUACUGCCGCGCUUGAGUGCAGGAGAGGUUAUCGGAAUUCCCGGUGUAGCGGUGAAAUGCGUAGAGAUCGGGAGGAACACCAGUGGCGAAGGCGGGUAACUGGACUGCAACUGACGCUGAGGCGCGAAAGUGUGGGGAGCAAACAGGAUUAGAUACCCUGGUAGUCCACACUGUAAACGAUGAAUGCUAGGUGUAAGAGGUAUCGACCCCUUUUGUGCCGGAGUCAACACAAUAAGCAUUCCGCCUGGGGAGUACGGCCGCAAGGUUGAAACUCAAAUGAAUUGACGGGG